UAUGCGGUUGUUGUUGUUGCUGCUGCUGCUGUAUAUGUUAGCUUCUUACCGUCCCUCGCUUCGUGGUCUCCAACCCACCACCCAUCCUACUUGCGCGAACCUAACCCGACCACCAUAUCCACGCAUCGCAACCAGCAUGCGCGUAAAUCGCACAAACUAUGCGCACACCGCGCUCUCGGGGAAUCGUCAUCGCAACGCUUGGAGCUUGGAGGGCCGUUGCUCUUGCGCUGGAACAGAAACCGGGACCUAGGCGUGCUCGCGCGCCGCCGCCGUCGUCGUCGUCGUCGUCGUUGAAGCCAUCAGCGCUUCAGUGACGUGAUCUUGGGCACCGACCGCAGUACGGAGACUUUGCUAUAUAAAUUCCUCGCCGACGGAAGGGUCACUAUCAGUCGAGUGUCGUUAAUCGAUCCAAACGCACAGUUUCGCAUUUCGCGGUCAACCCUCCAACAACCCCAAAUCAAGCAAAAUGAAAUUCCUGCUCAUGACCAUCUGCCUCGUCGUGCUGGCCUUCGCCCUGGUCGCCGCUGUGCCCGCCGUGAACGACGAAAGCAUCUUCGGAGCCGAUGGAGCCGCCGCCGACGACACCAUCAACCCACAGGAUCCCCAAGAUCUGCUGUUCAAGAAGCUGCUGCUGAAGAAGAAGCUUCUGCUGCUGGGUUAGAUAGAAGGAAGGUCUCACCACCUUAACAUCGACAAAGCAAACCAAUGCCUAGUCUCCAGUGAGGUCGGGGGUCGGUCGGGUCGUCGGGGGAGUGUUCCCCAGGGCAGCUGCCUGGUGCAGAUGCGCGACGGGGGAUUUAUCCCGCUGACUUGGCGCCCUCCGACCACCAAAAGCUUGGGAAGCUUUCUCUUAGAGCGAUAGGAAUUUCUUUACUCUUAAUCUACAAUCCACCUAUUUGAUGCAAAUGAUUCUAUUUUGAACCAUGAAUGAUUGGAGAGGACGACGUGAGUGCAAUGAACGACUUUAUACUCUAUAUUUUGUGUAUCAUAAAACUGCCAGUCAAAUAGCUCGAAUGUACAACAACCUGAAUAUAUGAUAAGACUUACAAAUCGAAA